AACCAAGCAAAAACGGGAUAAAAACAUUAUAAUUUGAAUGUUUAAAACAUUUAUAAAGACAAUGAACGCACUGUGUAACAAAAGUUUGGGCAUACCUUAACGGAGAUUCUCUUCUCAUUGUAGACGGGUUCCCGGGGGACCAGAGGCGAACCCAGGAUUUGAAGUCUAUGGGUGCACCGGUAUUGUCAAUUACGCGCAUACGCCUCGAAGCAAGACUCAAAAUAUAUUGAGCGGCGAACCCAGGAAUUGAAGUCUAUGGGUGCACCGGUGUUGUCAAUGACGCACAUAAGCCUCAAAGCAAGACUCAAAAUAUGUUGAGCGCUCGUCUCACUUAAUGUGCAACUUAGGUUCUAAUUUCUAAUACAUACUUUUCCUUUUCAGUCCAUGAGGCUUUCUUAAGAGACGACUAUUUCACUAUAUCAAAAAAAAAAAACAAAUCAUAUAUUUAUCACUCAUGCUUAUAUUAUUAGUCUUGGACUAACAUAUAUUUAUAUUUUUUUCUCUUUAUGCUCCUUUAUUUGUACUUUGUGCUUAAACACAAUAGACCGUGAUGCUUGUUUACACUUGUUGCUUUUGAUAAUACUGUGGUGCACAAUAUUAUCUUAAGACAUUAGGAAAACUUUCAGUGUCGAUUAAGAGAUAUUAUCAUAUUCAAUUGGUCGUCAAAGACAUAAACAAUACUGAAAAAAUAAAUUUAUAGAACAAGUAUGAAUUCUUAGCUAAUAACUUUAUUUUCUUAUAAUAUGAGGUUUAUUUUUAAGAUCUUUGGAUAAUCAUUUGUAGUAGCUCAAUGGUCAAGGGGAUUCACUUCAUGGGAUGGUUGCAGGUUCGAAUCCCCAUUCCAACAUUUUGAUAUUAUAAAUUUAGUAAUAGAAAAAAUAUUGUGCUACCAGGGAUCGAUCCCUAGUUUGAUGGACGGAAGCAUUGGCUUCAACUAGCACAUCAAGGUGUGCACUAGCAUUCAACUUAAUGUAAUAGUAAGCCUUUAAUAAUCUGAAGAUUGAAAAUAAAAGAGAAAAUGUUGCGCGAUCCAAGGAUUGAUCCCUGGUCGCAUGGACAAAUGUGAUGUCCUAUGCCAGCGCGGCAAGGUGCACUAGCAUUCAUUUGUGGGUGCACUAUUAAAUAUAUCUCAAUUUCUGAAGGUAUAUACACAUAUAUGCACAUAAUUUUUUUCAACAUUAACGGGAGCACGUGCACCCCCACUAAUAGCUGUGGGUUCGCCUCUGCCGGGGACCAGAUUCUUUGUACAAAGAGCAUCCUCUUUGAGCUUAGCAAUAAAAACUCCCUCAUGUCUGUGAGGCACCAACGCAACCCUAUUACCACCCUUCAUUCCUCCACGUCCCAUGCCUCUUCCUCUUUCACCUCCUCUGCCUCCUCGGCGCUGCAUAGCAAUUCCCCCACCCCCACUCCCUCUCCCUCUACCACCGCCAAAACCUCCUCUUGCUCCUCUUCCUCCAUCUCCUCGGCCACCCCUAAAGGCCUAAACCCACCCCUUCCUCCACGG
rnacentral:lncRNA from 1 species